CCUACGGGUGGCAGCAGUGGGGAAUAUUGCACAAUGGGCGCAAGCCUGAUGCAGCCAUGCCGCGUGUGUGAAGAAGGCCUUCGGGUUGUAAAGCACUUUCAGCGGGGAGGAAGGCGGUGAGGUUAAUAACCUCAUCGAUUGACGUUACCCGCAGAAGAAGCACCGGCUAACUCCGUGCCAGCAGCCGCGGUAAUACGGAGGGUGCAAGCGUUAAUCGGAAUUACUGGGCGUAAAGCGCACGCGGGCGGUCUGUCAAGUCGGAUGUGAAAUCCCCGGGCUCAACCUGGGAACUGCAUUCGAAACUGGCAGGCUAGAGUCUUGUAGAGGGGGGUAGAAUUCCAGGUGUAGCGGUGAAAUGCGUAGAGAUCUGGAGGAAUACCGGUGGCGAAGGCGGCCCCCUGGACAAAGACUGACGCUCAGGUGCGAAAGCGUGGGGAGCAAACAGGAUUAGAUACCCCAUAGUC
rnacentral:rRNA from 1 species